GCACUCGUAGCUCAGCUGGAUAGAGCGCUGCCCUCCGAAGGCAGAGGUCGUAGGUUCGAAUCCUACCGAGUGCGCCA
rnacentral:tRNA from 1 species